rnacentral:misc_RNA from 1 species
UCGAAUAAGACCCGCAAGGGUCUGACAACACCCGUGCACUUUUUUGCGUACCUUUGUUUCCUCGGCAGCUCCGCCUGCCAGCGAGGACCCCCAUAAAACCUUUUGCAAUCUUUGAAAUUCAGAAUAAUCCUUAAUUAUUA